rnacentral:lncRNA from 1 species
AUUAACAGAAUUUAUUUCUUUAAAGUCACUUUAGUUGUAUCAUUUUAUUCUCAAUGUAUAAAUACUUGUGUAAUAUUCCAAUUCAAAAUUAAUUGCAAAAUCUAUACUCAUCCAAUAUUACUAUUUUCUCUAUUUUUCUCUCUCAAGUUCAUCUUCUCCAAUUUUCUUUUCUUCCACCAUUGUUAAACCUUCAAAUUUCAGUUUUAUGUUCUAACAUAUAAUAGUUAUUACAAUUUCUCUAAUAUAAAAAAAAUAGAAAAUUUGUAAAAACAAAAGUGAGACUAAAAUUCAUAAUGAGAAAAGAUUUAAAGAUUAAUGUCACUUUAAUCCAACCCUAAAUUUCUAAUAUGCCGCUGGUAACUUAAUUCUUUUACUGGAAUGUUCUUCCUCUAAUUUAUUAGUGACAAAACCUAUAAUUUUUGUAGUCCCAUUUUCUAUACAAAACCCAAAUAUUAUCCAAAACAUACGUUAGGCCAUCUCAUUAACAACUAAAUGAUUGAGGGAUGCCUAUAAAUCCAACUCUUCUUAUUUAGUUAGUUCAUUUCACCAUCUAUCCGCACAAAGAAUGGGGAUAUAGUCAUCAUUUCUAAAAAUAU